rnacentral:rRNA from 1 species
GACGAACGCUGGCGGCGUGCUUAACACAUGCAAGUCGAACGGAAAGGCCCUGCUUUUGUGGGGUGCUCGAGUGGCGAACGGGUGAGUAACACGUGAGUAACCUGCCCUUGACUUUGGGAUAACUUCAGGAAACUGGGGCUAAUACCGGAUAGGAGCUCCUGCUGCAUGGUGGGGGUUGGAAAGUUUCGGCGGUUGGGGAUGGACUCGCGGCUUAUCAGCUUGUUGGUGGGGUAGUGGCUUACCAAGGCUUUGACGGGUAGCCGGCCUGAGAGGGUGACCGGCCACAUUGGGACUGAGAUACGGCCCAGACUCCUACGGGAGGCAGCAGUGGGGAAUAUUGCACAAUGGGCGGAAGCCUGAUGCAGCAACGCCGCGUGCGGGAUGACGGCCUUCGGGUUGUAAACCGCUUUCGCCUGUGACGAAGCGUGAGUGACGGUAAUGGGUAAAGAGGCACCGGCUAAGUACGUG